rnacentral:rRNA from 1 species
UACGGGGGGGGCAAGCGUUGUUCGGAAUUACUGGGCGUAAAGGGCUCGUAGGCGGCCAACUAAGUCAGACGUGAAAUCCCUCGGCUUAACCGGGGAACUGCGUCUGAUACUGGAUGGCUUGAGUUUGGGAGAGGGAUGCGGAAUUCCAGGUGUAGCGGUGAAAUGCGCAGAUAUCAGGAGGAACACCGGUGGCGAAGGCGGGUCUCUGGGCCGAUAUUGACGCUGAGGAGCGAAAGCGUGGGGAGCGAACAGG